AACGUAGGAGGCGAGCGUUAUCCGGAGUUACUGGGCGUAAAGCGCGCGCAGGCGGUUCGUUAAGUCGGGCGUGAAAGCCCCAUGCUAAACGUGGGGAGGACGAACGAUACUGGCGAACUAGAGUAGAGCAGAGGGACAUGGAAUUCCGGGUGUAGCGGUGAAAUGUGCAGAUAUCCGGAGGAACACCAGAGGUGAAAACGGUGUCCUGGGCUCAUACUGACGCUGAGGUGCGAAAGCGUGGGGAGCGAACGGG
rnacentral:rRNA from 1 species